rnacentral:rRNA from 1 species
AACGAACGCUGGCGGCAUGCCUAACACAUGCAAGUCGAACAAGACCUUCGGGUCUAGUGGCGCACGGGUGCGUAACGCGUGGGAACCUGCCUUUAGGUUCGGAAUAACUCAGAGAAAUUUGAGCUAAUACCGGAUAAUGUCUUCGGACCAAAGAUUUAUCGCCUUUAGAUGGGCCCGCGUUGGAUUAGCUAGUUGGUGGGGUAAAGGCCUACCAAGGCGACGAUCCAUAGCUGGUCUGAGAGGAUGAUCAGCCACACUGGGACUGAGACACGGCCCAGACUCCUACGGAGGCAGCAGUGGGGAAUUUUCCGCAAUGGGCGAAAGCCUGACGGAGCAACGCCGCGUGAGGGAUGAAGGCCUCUGGGCUGUAAACCUCUUUUAUCAAGGAAGAAGAUCUGACGGUACUUGAUGAAUAAGCCACGGCUAAUUCCGUGCCAGCAGCCGCGGUAAUG